rnacentral:lncRNA from 1 species
CUUUUCUCUUUAAAUUUUCUUAACUUGGAAACCCAUUGGUUAAUUGGCAGAGGUGCUGUGUAUAGUUAAGUAGUCUGAAAGUUGUAUCCCUAAAUAUUUUACAUUGGACAUCCUAGUUUGAAGGGAACCUUGUUGUAUCUCUGUCUCAUUUACCCAUCUAUAAAAUGAAGAUAACACUAUUGCCUCAUCAGGUAUGAUGGUUCCUGUCUGUUAGUUGUUUGACUGCUAUGGAGGAUUUAAAGAGCUUGUGAAUUAUUUGGUAUUCUGGAAAUGAGUUGAACAGAGUGCAUGAAUACAUGCAGAGAAUUGUUAGUUGUCAUUGGAUCGUUGUCUAGCAUUACAGGAGUGAAAUGAGGGAGGAAGCCUAGAGCAAUCCUGGAAUAUCAGGGAUGCAGGAAAAACAGCCUUUAAUACCAUAUUUGGAGUUCAUUGGCGUAGACAUCCCUGAUCAUUGAACUGCUUCAAUCAGUAAGUUCUUUUCUCUGUGAGGAUGCUGUGAAUAUGAGCAUUUUGUGACAGGAGGUUUGGUUCUG